CCUACGGGAGGCAGCAGUGAGGAAUAUUGGUCAAUGGACGAGAGUCUGAACCAGCCAAGUAGCGUGAAGGAUGACUGCCCUAUGGGUUGUAAACUUCUUUUAUAUGGGAAUAAAACGUUCCACGUGUGGGAUUUUGUAUGUACCAUAUGAAUAAGGAUCGGCUAACUCCGUGCCAGCAGCCGCGGUAAUACGGAGGAUCCGAGCGUUAUCCGGAUUUAUUGGGUUUAAAGGGAGCGUAGGUGGAUUGUUAAGUCAGUUGUGAAAGUUUGCGGCUCAACCGUAAAAUUGCAGUUGAGACUGGCAGUCUUGAGUACAGUAGAGGUGGGCGGAAUUCGUGGUGUAGCGGUGAAAUGCUUAGAUAUCACGAAGAACUCCGAUGGCGAAGGCAGUUCACUGGACUGCAACUGACACUGAGGCUCGAAAGUGUGGGUAUCAAACAGGAUUAGAUACCCGGGUAGUC
rnacentral:rRNA from 1 species